AGGACGAACGCUGGCGGCGUGCUUCAUACAUGCAAGUCGAACGAUAAGGUUCCUUCGGGAAUACAUAAGUGGCGGACGGGUGAGUAAUAUGUAGAGAAUCUGCCUUCAAGCGGGGGACAACAGAGGGAAACUUCUGCUAAUACCCCAUAUGAGCGUACCUGUGAUGGUAUUCUUGAAAGCUCCGGCGCUUGGAGAUGAGUCUGCAUCUGAUUAGCUAGUUGGGGGUGUAAUGGACCACCAAGGCGACGAUCAGUAGCUGGUUUGAGAGGAUGAUCAGCCACAAUGGGACUGAGACACGGCCCAUACUCCUACGGGAGGCAGCAGUAGGGAAUUUUGCGCAAUGGGCGAAAGCCUGACGCAGCAAACCGCCGCGUGAUCGCAGACGGCCUUCGGGUUGUAAAGAUCUGUCAGUAGGGACGAACAAUGACUGUACCUACAGAGGAAGCACCGGCUAACUCCGUGCCAGCAGCAGC
rnacentral:rRNA from 1 species